GACGAACGCUGGCGGCGUGCUUAACACAUGCAAGUCGAACGGAAAGGCCUCUUUCGGGGGGUACUCGAGUGGCGAACGGGUGAGUAACACGCGAGUAACCUGCCCUUGACUUUGGGAUAACUUCAGGAAACUGGGGCUAAUACCGGAUAGGAGCUCCUGCUGCAUGGUGGGGGUUGGAAAGUUUCGGCGGUUGGGGAUGGACUCGCGGCUUAUCAGCUUGUUGGUGGGGUAGUGGCUUACCAAGGCUUUGACGGGUAGCCGGCCUGAGAGGGUGACCGGCCACAUUGGGACUGAGAGACGGCCCAGACUCCUACGGGAGGCAGCAGUGGGGAAUAUUGCACAAUGGGUGGAAGCCUGAUGCAGCAACGCCGUGUGCGGGAUGACGGCCUUCGGGUUGUAAACCGCUUUCGCUCAUGACGAAGCUUUGUGUGACGGUAGUGGGUAAAGAAGCACCGGCUAACUACGUG
rnacentral:rRNA from 1 species